rnacentral:lncRNA from 1 species
GUGCAAGCCUAUUCAGUCUGGGGCUUGCUGAUCAACCUUCCUAUCAACAAAGAAAAACAAGAUCAUAUAAAAAAAAUUAUCAGUGAGCCGGGCAGUGGUGGCACACACCUUUAAUCCCAGUACUUAUGAGGCAGAGACAGGUAGAUUUCUGAGUUCAAGGCCAGCCUGGUCUACAGAGUGAGUUCCAGGACAGCCAGGGCAAUACAGAGAAAUCCUGUCUUGAAAAACAAAACAAAACAAAACAAAUCAGUGGUGGAAAAACUAAGAGCAAAAGAAUUGCUAUGUCCUUGUCAGACAUCACUUCCCCAGCUGCUGGGGUCAUAGGAUGAGUCGUGACUCAGGCUGAAAGCAGAUGGCUAUAAUUACUUCUUCAGGUAAAUAUUAAUAUUGCCAUCUCUCUAAGCAGGAGGGUUAGGAAAGCAUUUCUCUAUUUUUUUCUUGGCCCUUAAAAUGGCUCUGGUAUCCAGUCACCAGAUGCCAGCAGAUGCCAGUGUGCCACAGGGUUCCACCAACAUCUCAGCAGGUGUCAUCUGUAGCAACUGAGGGGAGCUGCACCAAGGCUGCACCACUGUUCCUGUUUGAAAGAGUGAAACCAUCUCUCUCCCUUUCAGUCUGUCUUGGCCUAUCACCCUGACUUUGCACUCUUCUACUUGAAAAAUAACUUCUCUUCAAAGUCCUUAAUAAUAAGCAAUGAAAUUGGCUGGAUUAAAUUAUGACGAUGCCUGGGUGUGUGCCUUGGAAGUAGAGCAUGAGUGUAGAUUCUGAAAUUUUUAGCUUUGGCAAGCAGAGUGCAAAUUGUGGCCUAGUUUCAAAAUGUUUAUUGGAAGCAAACUCAUAAUAGAAUUGAAAACUGUCCUUUCUGGAAAACAUUCAUAAAAAAUUGACUUUGUUUAUGUUUUUGCACCUAAAGUAUUUAUUUCCACACUUCAUCUAUAAACUCUUUUAUAGUAGUUAAAUAUUUAGUAUUGAACUAGUAGUAUAGAAAAUGAAGUGAAACGUUUUCUUUGAAGUAUCAGCAUUUUAGCUGUAGCUUCCAUAUCAUCUAUGAAAAUACUAAUAUAAUUAGAAAAAUAUCACUGACACAGCAUUCAUUUACCAUUAAUAAAACAGAUCCAGAACCACCUUUUCCUCCUGGGGUUUUGAGAUAAGCUCUCAUCUAUGUAGCUGAGACUGGCCUCAAAUUUAUCCUAUCUCAGCCUUCUUGGUGAGAUUACAAGAAUUUGCCACCAAUCCAGACUAAAAAUCAUCUCCAUUUAAAAAAAACUAUAAAUAAAACCUAGUUAAAACCUAUUUAGUAAGAGUAACUGUGAUAUAAAGAGAUAUCUUCAGUAAAUAAUGAGUAACAUUGCUUGACUCUAUCUGGGCUUCCUCUUCCUCAUUUACAAACAUGGAAAACAGUAUUGUUUUACUGGUUUCAUAUCAAAUGACCAUUAAAUCAUUUAUUAUGUCUCAUAUACACAUAUGCAUAUACACACAUAUAUAUAUACAUACAUAUACACAUACAUAUAUACAUACAGAUAUACAUAUAUACAUACAGAUAUACAUAUGUACAUACAUGCAUAUAUACAUACAUACAUAUAUUCAUAUGCACACAUACAUAUAUACAUGUGUGAGUGUGUGUGUGAGAGAGAGAGACAAUGACUUUUGAAACCCACAGGCAGGAACUUGGGUUUCCUGCAUUCUUCCCAUUCCACACCCUGCUUCUGAUCUUCACUUUUCAGUGACAAAAAAAUUGGGAAAGAUGGACCAAAUGGUCUCACUUUUUUUUCCUUAUGUUUCUGUAAUCUUGUUUUUAUUUAAAAUGUAGGGGAUAAAUAUUCAUAAGUUAAUGAUUAGUAAUUUAGUUAUCAGUUAUUUCAUUAAAAAUAAUCUUAGAAUUCAGGAACUGUGUUUGGAGCUUAGAAGGAAUGUAGGAAUUUAGAGAAUUUAGGAAUUUAGAGUGUCUCCCAAAGUCCUGUGUUAAAAAUGUUAGUCACAUCUUGGCUCUCUAAGCAUAGGAGAAACUUAUAAGGUGGACCUAGAAAACACUCAGAGAGCUUGUCUUCCAAGGCCAUCUUGAGACAGACUUUUGUUAUUACUCUUUGCUCUCUUACCACAUGAUGCUCUACCAUAACCACCUAAGCCGAUAUUCGACAUCAGUACAAGCCUAGAGGCAAAGGAGCCAAUGACCAGACCAUUGAAGGGUCUGCAAGUAUGUGCUAGAAUUAAUUUUUACUCCCUUUAAGUUGUUUGGCUUAAGUAUUUUGUUCAAACAGAAAUCACACAGGUGAUAUAUUUAAUAAUAGUUUGUUCUAGGAUAGCAACAACCACUUUGAAUUUUAUAGAAUCCUAUGUUAAAUUUCAGUUGGACCUUUGUGAACAUGUUAUUUGAGUCCAUGAAUAUUGAAGUUUUCCAUAGCCUAAGCAGUUCUUAUAAUACCUAAGACCAGUCAAUGCUUUUAGUGGGCUACUUGAUAAAACUGAUACAUAUAUGGAUAUAUCUAAGUCAUUUUUCAAAGUGUUCAUCUUUUUAAUAAGAAAUACUGUUCCCUAUUUCUUUCUUUAUUUCUUUAACUUUUGAGGACUUUAUAUACAUCAAUUGUUCCUUGUCCAUUAGAACCAGUAAAAAUAUGAUAAGUACAUAUUAUGCUUCUAAAUCCAUCCUAUUACAAAAUCUCAAGAAGUUUGGAGUGGAAUACCAGUGUGGUGGUCAUGCAUGCAUGUCUAUUAUUAACUUUUUGAGGUACUGUUGCCCUAUCUGGAUUCUAUCAUUAUGCUGCAUGCUUUAUUACUACAGCUAACCUGUCCCCCAAGGUCUUAACUAUAAAAGACCAAGGGCUAGUGAAUUAAGUGUUAAUUUAAUUCAAAGUUAACAAGCAACACACAAUGUUGACAACAAUUUUGCCUGGAAAAUCACAACUAAACAUAUGUGUCUACAUUCUUUAUUAUUCUUCAAACUUUGUUACUCUAUACCCUACUGAAAGGAACAACUUAUUUAUCAAGUCAUUCACUGAGUAAAUUUUUCUGUGGUGCCACAUGGAUAGAUAAUAGAAAGUCUGGUAAAACAACAGACCUGAGAACCGGCUUGUGUCUGAAUUAACCACACCCUUUCUGAAGUGAAAGAGAAUAAUUGGGCCACUUGUGUCACAAGCACAGAACUUGGUGCUUGUGAGGGUAUAUUCCACUCACGAACAUACCCAUAUUUGGAAGGGCAUAACACAUUAUAUUUAUUUGUGAGGAAUGAACACAACACUCCAUACUUGAAUAUAAGCAAUGUCUUCAGCGUUCAAUCUAGGUAUACAUGAUUUAAAGUAGUAUGUGAUGUAUGUUAAAUGCAUGCAUCACUGAUCCUGUGUGCAUCCUUAGCCAAGUCAAGGACUGGGUGGGCCUUCCCAUCAUUGAAUAUAACCACUGUAAUGCUGGCAGACAAAUAAAAGAGUUUCAUCUGUAUCAGGACCGUUGCCCAUAGAAUGUGCAUAUCCAUAGUGCAGUGACUGUCACUUUUGCAAAAUUAUUUUACCUGUGAGAUGAUGCCAUUAUGCGAAUCCAGAAGAACGAGAAUGUUUACAAUCACUGGGAAUUAGGAUGCAUAUCCUGACAAGGACACACAAAGGAGCUGGAAACUCAUCCUGGAAUGAGAUUUAAUCACGGAGAUUUCAUUUAGGGAAGUGUGUAGUAAAGCCACAGGGCAAAGAUUUUAUUCUUGCCACAGGCCCCCAAACACACAUCUACCCACCCAUCCCUUGAGUGUAUGUUAAUUGUGAGCUCUAAAUGACUUGCCUUAGCAGAUAACUUUGGUAACUGCAAACUCAGCACUAUCAUCUUGUUCAUAAAAUAAAUUAGAAUUAUUCUUCCUCCAAGUGUUAUUGGCUUUCUCGAUCUGAAGUAUUACUUUUUUUACACACACAUCCAUUGAAAGCACAUGUCAGUCUUUGGUUUUUUGAAUGCUCACAACUGAGUCUUUAAAUUUUGCUUUAUUAAGUCAGGAAAACUCUACUCUUUGGGAAAAUUGGUGCUCUGUGUUUCUACACUUUAUGUGUUUUUGUGAGAGCCUUCUUUUUAAUUCUCAUACAUUUUUCUGUUUACUGAAUGGAGCAUAGUAUGAGGAAAAAAGGAAGUGUAGGGAGAAAUAGGUUACAGUAAAACUAACAGAUACUAAUUCAGUAUUCUUAUCCUUCCUGAAAAUGUCCACUGCACACAUAGCUUCCUAUUUUUUCUUAUUAGAUCAAAUAAAAUAGUAUUGAAAGACCCUUUUAAAAGGGCUGAAUGUACAAAGAGAUGAAUUCCAAUGAGAGCUAAUACUUUUUCUGAUUUUUAAAAAUUAUUUAUUGUAUAAACUUGUUCUAUGAGCCAGACUCUGUGCAAGGUUUAUAGAGUUAUCUGUAGCAUUGAAAGGUACCAGAUAUAGAGAACACAUGGCAAAAGAAACAUGCACAAUCAUGGUACCCGGGGAUAGUGGCAGGUGUGCUCUAUGCUAGGGACAGCCAGAGGAAAAACCUGUCUUCUAGAGAAUUCAUACAGCUCUGACAGUUUUUUGGUAGAUAACCUUGCAUGGGAGACUGGAGCCAAGACAAUGAUGGUUAGUGAUGUAGAGAGCUAAUACUCUUAUUUUUCAAAUUAACAGAGGUGUAGAGGUCAACAGCCAUGUAUAUAACAGUGAAAGUUUGAUUAGGAAUCAUUACCUAGUUGAUUUCCAGACACAUGCUUAAGAUUGUGGCAAUUUUCAGCCUAAGACUGGAUUGGAACUUAACUCACUAGAAAACAAAAGAAGCAUAACUUUGACACGUGUUAAUAUAUUUAUAGGAAUUUCUAGUUCUUAAACUCAGUUACU